UACGUAGGGUGCGAGCGUUAUCCGGAUUCACUGGGUUUAAAGGGUGCGUAGGUGGGCAGGUAAGUCAGUGGUGAAAUCUCCGGGCUUAACCCGGAAACUGCCAUUGAUACUAUCUGUCUUGAAUACCGUGGAGGUGAGCGGAAUAUGUCAUGUAGCGGUGAAAUGCUUAGAUAUGACAUAGAACACCAAUUGCGAAGGCAGCUCACUACGCGAAUAUUGACACUGAGGCACGAAAGCGUGGGGAUCAAACAGG
rnacentral:rRNA from 1 species